rnacentral:rRNA from 1 species
GAAUGAACGCUGGCGGCGUGCCUAAUACAUGCAAGUCGAGCGAACAGACGAGGAGCUUGCUCCUCUGACGUUAGCGGCGGACGGGUGAGUAACACGUGGAUAACCUACCUAUAAGACUGGGAUAACUUCGGGAAACCGGAGCUAAUACCGGAUAAUAUAUUGAACCGCAUGGUUCGAUAGUGAAAGACGGUUUUGCUGUCACUUAUAGAUGGAUCCGCGCCGCAUUAGCUAGUUGGUAAGGUAACGGCUUACCAAGGCAACGAUGCGUAGCCGACCUGAGAGGGUGAUCGGCCACACUGGAACUGAGACACGGUCCAGACUCCUACGGGAGGCAGCAGUAGGGAAUCUUCCGCAAUGGGCGAAAGCCUGACGGAGCAACGCCGCGUGAGUGAUGAAGGUCUUCGGAUCGUAAAACUCUGUUAUUAGGGAAGAACAAAUGUGUAAGUAACUAUGCACGUCUUGACGGUACCUAAUCAGAAAGCCACGGCUAACUACGUG